rnacentral:pre_miRNA from 1 species
GAAACACCCUUAUGAAGCAGGACUUGCUUCAUUGGGACUUUGGUGCUCACUGAGUCUGCCCCUUGAGUGUGUCACU